rnacentral:rRNA from 1 species
GCGUAACACGUGAGCAACCUGCUUUGGUGGUGGGGGAGUAGCCGGGCUAACGCCCCGGGGUAAUACCGCAUACGGUUGCCGAGGGGAGUCCCUUGGCAAAGAAACCUCCGGGGCACAGAGAGGGGCUCGCGGCCUAUCAGCUAGUUGGUGAGGUAAUGGCUCACCAAGGCGACGACGGGUAGCUGGUCUGAGAGGAUGGCCAGCCACAUUGGGACUGAGAUACGGCCCAG